rnacentral:rRNA from 1 species
UACGUAGGGAGCAAGCGUUGUCCGGAAUCACUGGGCGUAAAGCGCACGUAGGUGGCCUCAUAAGUCCGCUGUGAAAGUCAAAGGCUCAACCUUUGAAAGCCGGUGGAUACUGUGGGGCUAGAGUACGGAAGAGGCGAGUGGAAUUCCUGGUGUAGCGGUGGAAUGCGCAGAUAUCAGGAGGAACACCAAUAGCGAAGGCAGCUCGCUGGGACGUUACUGACACUGAGGCGCGAAAGCGUGGGGAGCGAACAGG